GCCUUCGUGGCCAAGUGGUAAGGCGCAGCACUAGUAAUGCUGAGAUCAUCAGUUCAAAUCUGGUCGAAGGCA
rfam:Yarrowia lipolytica strain CLIB122 chromosome F complete sequence.